UUUGGUCAGGAAGAUUUUGACAUGGUCUCAUUGCGGAGACUAAUUGUGAAAUUAUAAUAAAAAGUUGAGGACUAACAGUGCAAUUUUCCUUUCCCUAAACAAAAAUGCCAGAAAAAUCCAAUCAUUAAGGUGGCUCUACUGGUUUCAUGAUUUGAGGUAUAUGUUUGCUGUUUAUGUUCUGGAAAUCUUCAUGAUUAAUUUCUCGGGUUUUUGCAGAGAUGAAUUAAAUCACAGAGAAUCAGCAUCAGCCGAGCAAAGAAAAUGAUCAUGGGAAGCUUAUCGCAAAUGGCCCUUAAUGACGUGACAGAAAUUAUGCUCACACAGGAAGUUAACGAGUUCCUAAGUGGAGAAAAUCAUAGAAUUGUACUUUGUACAACACUGUCUUGUUCACGGAAUUUACUCAGUAGGUUAGAGGUCGAUCAAAUGCAUUAAUAUUUAGAAGAAAAUGAAAACAUUUUUAGUGGAAAUGCCAAAAUAAUUGUUACUUCCUGUAUGCAGUAAUU
rnacentral:lncRNA from 1 species